ACAUGCAAGUCGAGCGAACUGAUUAGAAGCUUGCUUCUAUGACGUUAGCGGCGGACGGGUGAGUAACACGUGGGCAACCUGCCUGUAAGACUGGGAUAACUUCGGGAAACCGAAGCUAAUACCGGAUAGGAUCUUCUCCUUCAUGGGAGAUGAUUGAAAGAUGGUUUCGGCUAUCACUUACAGAUGGGCCCGCGGUGCAUUAGCUAGUUGGUGAGGUAACGGCUCACCAAGGCAACGAUGCAUAGCCGACCUGAGAGGGUGAUCGGCCACACUGGGACUGAGACACGGCCCAGACUCCUACGGGAGGCAGCAGUAGGGAAUCUUCCGCAAUGGACGAAAGUCUGACGGAGCAACGCCGCGUGAGUGAUGAAGGCUUUCGGGUCGUAAAACUCUGUUGUUAGGGAAGAACAAGUACAAGAGUAACUGCUCGUACCUUGACGGUACCUAACCAGAAAGCCACGGCUAACUACGUGCCAGCAGCCGCGGUAAUACGUAGGUGGCAAGCGUUAUCCGGAAUUAUUGGGCGUAAAGCGCGCGCAGGCGG
rnacentral:rRNA from 1 species